rnacentral:tRNA from 1 species
UGCGCUUUAAUUUCUGCCAAUUCGCGGGAAGCGGGACUCUUAAUCCGUAGGUCGAGUGUUCGAGUCACUCACGCCCCACCA